CAGUCGCCACGGGAAUACGAAGGGGGCUAGCGUUGCUCGGAAUUACUGGGCGUAAAGGGCGCGUAGGCGGACAGUUUAGUCGGGGGUGAAAGCCCGGGGCUCAACCUCGGAAUUGCCUUCGAUACUGGCUGUCUUGAGUGUGAGAGAGGUGUGUGGAACUCCGAGUGUAGAGGUGAAAUUCGUAGAUAUUCGGAAGAACACCAGUGGCGAAGGCGACGCACUGGCUCACUACUGACGCUGAGGCGCGAAAGCGUGGGGAGCAAACAGGAUUAGAUACCCGAGUAGUCCCUGUCUCUUAUAC
rnacentral:rRNA from 1 species